GAUGAACGCUAGCGGCAGGCUUAACACAUGCAAGUCGAGGGGUAGGUUACUUCGGUAAUUGAGACCGGGCGCACGGGUGCGUAACGCGUAUACAAUCUACCUUUUACAGAGGGAUAGCCCAGAGAAAUUUGGAUUAAUACCUCAUAGUAUUUUUGAAUCGCAUGAUUUGAUUAUUAAAGUUCCAACGGUAAAAGAUGAGUAUGCGUCCCAUUAGCUAGAUGGUAAGGUAACGGCUUACCAUGGCUACGAUGGGUAGGGGUCCUGAGAGGGAGAUCCCCCACACUGGUACUGAGACACGGACCAGUAACUCCCUAACGGGAGGCAGCA
rnacentral:rRNA from 1 species